rnacentral:lncRNA from 1 species
CCCUCCUGAUGGAGUGACUUUGACAUAAUCAAAGAUCAAGGACUUAACCACAAGACAAACGUGAUGCCUCAGGUCAAAGGACUAUUUUGCAUUAUCCCAACCAUGAGUUCUCAUGUGACAUGAAUAUGAGAACUCUUCGUUGAUCCUGUUCAGUGAACUCAUUCUCUAUUGAGCACCUACGUACUUGUGUUGAUGUCACACACACCAAUGACUUGAGACUAGUCACUCUCCCUGAGAGAAUACACAACACGUACUGAUCUUAACGGACUGUCAAUGCCCAAUUGGCAAUCCUAUGAUCAAGAACGUUUAGGAUAUGUCUACGAAAGAAUGGUCUCAUGAAUCUAACUUCUUUAGAUCGCAUUCUCCCAAUCACAUAUUCCUUGGACUUAUCGUUUAAGCAUAUAACAUUUAUAUGAGACGGCUCAAACAAUAAUCUUUGCCCUUGAUAUUAAACUAGAUUAGUUUAACAUGUGAAAUGUCCGUAAAGUAUCAUCAUAUGAUUGGUUUUAGGGCACAUUUCCAACAAUUUGUGUAGUACUCGUUGGUACGAACACAUAGGCGAAAGCCGUUUGCGAGUCUAGUUUAUAUUGGUAUAGUUACGAACAUUCGACAUUGGUUAUUUUAAGUUUAGUGUUAAUUAAAUUGAACUCCCAUCUUGUGGGAGGAAGAACCAAUGAGUUUUUAGAAAUAAAGGAAGAAAUGAGAGGGGAGGAAGAGAGCACAGGAGGGAGAUGGACAAAUUGGGAGAGGGGAGAGGAAGAAACUGUCCAAUUAGAAAGAGGAGAAAGGAGGGAAAGGAGGAAAAAAGAAAAGGAAGGGGCAAAAUGGGUCAUCCCAUGACCCGCGCGACUUGUAGAGAGCCACGGCCAAAUUUGGCCCUUUUUCCGACA